UCUAACAGCAUACACGAGCCAAGAUGAUCCACGUUUUGAGUUUCUAGAAAGUCUACUACACCAUCUAGAAUGUUGGAAACGGAACGUGAAUGCCCGGGACGGCUUUACAAAUACCCAUAAGUCGAAGAUGCUCCUGGCCAAACAAACUCAGGACGGGAUCUACACGACAGUGAGGGGAUUUAUCGGAGCAGCAA